UAACUGGAGAGUUUGAUUCUGGCUCAGAACGAACGCUGGCGGCGUGCUUAACACAUGCAAGUCGAACGGGAAAAUCCCCGCAAGGGGAUGAGUACAGUGGCGCACGGGUGCGUAACACGUAGGUAACCUACCUGUUGUUGGGGAACAACCUGUCGAAAGACGGGCUAAUUCCGCGUAAGUUGGCAUCAUGAAAAUGAUGUCAAGAAAGAUGGCCUCUGCUUGCAAGCUAUCGACGACAGAUGGGCCUGCGCCCGAUUAGCUAGUUGGUAGGGUAACGGCCUACCAAGGCUUCGAUCGGUAGUUGGUCUGAGAGGACGACCAGCCACACUGGCACUGAAAUACGGGCCAGACUCCUACGGGAGGCAGCAGUGGGGAAUAUUGGACAAUGGGCGAAAGCCUGAUCCAGCAACGCCGCGUGAGCGAUGAAGGCCUUCGGGUCGUAAAGCUCUGUCAGAGGGGACGAAAACUCAGUGGAAAUAAUACUCCAUUGAAUUGACGGUACCCUCAGAGGAAGCACCGGCUAACUCUGUGCCAGCAGCCGCGGUAAUACAGAGGGUGCGAGCGUUGUUCGGAGUUACUGGGCGUAAAGCGCAUGUAGGCGGAUAGAGAAGUCGGGUGUGAAAUCCCUGGGCUUAACCCAGGAACUGCGCCCGAAACCAUCUAUCUAGAGUUCAGUAGGGGAGCGGGGAAUUCCCGGUGUAGAGGUGAAAUUCGUAGAUAUCGGGAGGAACACCAGUGGCGAAGGCGCCGCUCUGGGCUGUAACUGACGCUGAGGUGCGAAAGCUUGGGGAGCAAACAGGAUUAGAUACCCUGGUAGUCCAAGCUGUAAACGAUGGGUACUAGGUGUCGGAGGAAUUGACCCCUUCGGUGCCGUAAGCUAACGCAUUAAGUACCCCGCCUGGGAAGUACGGCCGCAAGGUUGAAACUCAAAGGAAUUGACGGGGGCCCGCACAAGCGGUGGAGCAUGUGGUUCAAUUCGACGCAACGCGAAAAACCUUACCUAGACUUGACAUCUAUCGAACCUUGUAGAGAUACGAGGGUGCCCGCAAGGGAGCGAUAAGACAGGUGCUGCAUGGCUGUCGUCAGCUCGUGCUGUGAAGUGUUGGGUUAAGUCCCGCAACGAGCGCAACCCCUAUCCUUAGUUGCUAACAGGUUAAGCUGAGCACUCUAGGGAGACUGCCGGUGUCAAACCGGAGGAAGGUGGGGACGACGUCAAGUCCUCAUGGCCUUUAUGUCUAGGGCGACACACGUGCUACAAUGGCUGGUACAAAGGGUUGCCAAACCGUAAGGUGGAGCUAAUCUCAAAAAACCAGUCUCAGUUCGGAUUGAAGUCUGCAACUCGACUUCAUGAAGCUGGAAUCGCUAGUAAUCGCUGAUCAGAACGCAGCGGUGAAUACGUUCCCGGGCCUUGUACACACCGCCCGUCACACCACGAAAGCGGAGUAUACCAGAAGUCCCGCCUUAAAACGGGCCCAAGGUAUGAUUCGUGAUUGGGGUGAAGUUUAACGGCUUCCUAUAGAAGUAAUUCUAUAGUAAAACUCAACUAUA
rfam:Deltaproteobacteria bacterium RIFCSPLOWO2_01_FTLL_45_74 rifcsplowo2_01_scaffold_729, whole genome shotgun sequence.